UACGUAGGUGGCGAGCGUUGUCCGGAUUUACUGGGCGUAAAGGGAGCGUAGGCGGACUUUUAAGUGAGAUGUGAAAUACCCGGGCUCAACUUGGGUGCUGCAUUUCAAACUGGAAGUCUAGAGUGCAGGAGAGGAGAAUGGAAUUCCUAGUGUAGCGGUGAAAUGCGUAGAGAUUAGGAUGAACACCAGUGGCGAAGGCGAUUCUCUGGACUGUAACUGACGCUGAGGCUCGAAAGCGUGGGGAGCAAACAGGAUUAGAUA
rnacentral:rRNA from 1 species